GAGCUUUGUUUUUCGGAUUCUUCGGAUGAAGAAGUUCAAAGUGAGUGGCGGACGGGUGAGUAACGCGUGGGGAACCUGCCUCAUUCCGGGGGAUACCAGUUGGAAACGACUGUUAAUACCGCAUAAGCGCACAGGGCCGCAUGGCCGAGUGUGAAAAACUCCGGUGGAAUGAGAUGGACCCGCGUCUGAUUAGCUAGUUGGUGAGGUAACGGCCCACCAAGGCGACGAUCAUUAGCCGGCCUGAGAGGGUGAACGGCCACAUUGGGACUGAGACACGGCCCAGACUCCUACGGGAGGCAGCAGUGGGGAAUAUUGCACAAUGGAGGAAACUCUGAUGCAGCGACGCCGCGUGAGUGAAGAAGUAUCUCGGUAUGUAAAGCUCUAUCAGCAGGGAAGAAGAUGACGGUACCUGCAGAAGCAGCCCCGGCUAACUACGUGCCAGCAGCCGCGGUAAUACGUAGGGGGCAAGCGUUAUCCGGAUUUACUGGGUGUAAAGGGAGCGUAGACGGAAUAGCAAGUCAGAUGUGAAAGGCCGGGGCUCAACCCCGGGAUUGCAUUUGAAACUGCCAUUCUUGAGUACCGGAAGGGCAGACGGAAUUCCUGGUGUAGCGGUGAAAUGCGUAGAGAUCAGGAGGAACACCGGUGGCGAAAGCGGUCUGCUGGACGGUAACUGACGUUGA
rnacentral:rRNA from 1 species